rnacentral:rRNA from 1 species
GAUGAACGCUGGCGGCGUGCCUAAUACAUGCAAGUCGAGCGAACAGAUAAGGAGCUUGCUCCUUUGACGUUAGCGGCGGACGGGUGAGUAACACGUGGGUAACCUACCUAUAAGACUGGAAUAACUCCGGGAAACCGGGGCUAAUGCCGGAUAACAUUUAGAACCGCAUGGUUCUAAAGUGAAAGAUGGUUUUGCUAUCACUUAUAGAUGGACCCGCGCCGUAUUAGCUAGUUGGUAAGGUAAUGGCUUACCAAGGCAACGAUACGUAGCCGAGCUGAGAGGGGGAUCGGCCACACUGGAACUGAGACACGGUCCAGACUCCUACGGGAGUCAGCAGUAGGGAAUCUUCCGCAAUGGGCGAAAGCCUGACGGAGCAACGCCGCGUGAGUGAUGAAGGGUUUCGGCUCGUAAAACUCUGUUAUUGGGGAAGAACAAACGUGUAAGUAACUGUGCACGUCUUGACGGUACCUAAUCAGAAAGCCACGGCUAACUACGUGCCAGCCGCCGCCGUAA